rnacentral:rRNA from 1 species
UACGAAGGGGGCUAGCGUUACUCGGAAUUACUAGGCGUAAAGGGCAGGUAGGCGGUCUCGUUAGUCUGUUGUGAAAGCUCCUUGCUUAACGGGGAGAGGCCAACAGAUACUGCGAGGCUUGAGUAUAGGAGAGGGUACUGGAAUUCCCGGUGUAGCGGUGAAAUGCGCAGAGAUCGGGAGGAACACCAAUGGCGAAAGCAGGUACCUGGACUAUUACUGACGCUAAGCUGCGAAAGCUAGGGGAGCAAACAGG